GUGGGGAAUAUUGGACAAUGGGGGGAACCCUGAUCCAGCCAUGCCGCGUGUGUGAAGAAGGCCUUUUGGUUGUAAAGCACUUUAAGCGAGGAGGAGGCUACCGAGAUUAAUACUCUUGGAUAGUGGACGUUACUCGCAGAAUAAGCACCGGCUAACUCUGUGCCAGCAGCCGCGGUAAUACAGAGGGUGCAAGCGUUAAUCGGAUUUACUGGGCGUAAAGCGCGCGUAGGUGGCCAAUUAAGUCAAAUGUGAAAUCCCCGAGCUUAACGUGGGAAUUGCAUUCGAUACUGGUUGGCUAGAGUAUGGGAGAGGAUGGUAGAAUUCCAGGUGUAGCGGUGAAAUGCGUAGAGAUCUGGAGGAAUACCGAUGGCGAAGGCAGCCAUCUGGCCUAAUACUGACACUGAGGUGCGAAAGCAUGGGGAGCAAACAGGAUUAGAAACCCCUGUAGUCC
rnacentral:rRNA from 1 species